GUUAAGCGACUAAGCGUACACGGUGGAUGCCCUGGCAGUCAGAGGCGAUGAAGGACGUGCUAAUCUGCGAUAAGCGUCGGUAAGGUGAUAUGAACCGUUAUAACCGGCGAUUUCCGAAUGGGGAAACCCAGUGUGAUUCGUCACACUAUCAUUAACUGAAUCCAUAGGUUAAUGAGGCGAACCGGGGGAACUGAAACAUCUAAGUACCCCGAGGAAAAGAAAUCAACCGAGAUUCCCCCAGUAGCGGCGAGCGAACGGGGAGCAGCCCAGAGCCUGAAUCAGUGUGUGUGUUAGUGGAAGCGUCUGGAAAGGCGCGCGAUACAGGGUGACAGCCCCGUACACAAAAAUGCACAUGCUGUGAGCUCGAUGAGUAGGGCGGGACACGUGGUAUCCUGUCUGAAUAUGGGGGGACCAUCCUCCAAGGCUAAAUACUCCUGACUGACCGAUAGUGAACCAGUACCGUGAGGGAAAGGCGAAAAGAACCCCGGCGAGGGGAGUGAAAAAGAACCUGAAACCGUGUACGUACAAGCAGUGGGAGCACGCUUAGGCGUGUGACUGCGUACCUUUUGUAUAAUGGGUCAGCGACUUAUAUUCUGUAGCAAGGUUAACCGAAUAGGGGAGCCGAAGGGAAACCGAGUCUUAACUGGGCGUUAAGUUGCAGGGUAUAGACCCGAAACCCGGUGAUCUAGCCAUGGGCAGGUUGAAGGUUGGGUAACACUAACUGGAGGACCGAACCGACUAAUGUUGAAAAAUUAGCGGAUGACUUGUGGCUGGGGGUGAAAGGCCAAUCAAACCGGGAGAUAGCUGGUUCUC
rnacentral:rRNA from 1 species